rnacentral:rRNA from 1 species
GAUGAACGCUGACAGAAUGCUUAACACAUGCAAGUCUACUUGAACUUCGGUUUGGGUGGCGGACGGGUGAGUAACGCGUAAGGAACUUGCCUCACAGAUAGGGACAACAUUUGGAAACGAAUGCUAAUACCUGAUAUUAUGAUUUUAGGGCAUCCUAGAAUUAUGAAAGCUAUAUGCACUGUGAGAGAGCUUUGCGUCCCAUUAGCUAGUUGGAGAGGUAACGGCUCACCAAGGCGAUGAUGGGUAGCCGGCCUGAGAGGGUGAUCGGCCACAAGGGGACUGAGACACGGCCCUUACUCCUACGGGAGGCAGCAGUGGGGAAUAUUGGACAAUGGACCAAGAGUCUGAUCCAGCAAUUCUGUGUGCACGAUGAAGUUUUUCGGAAUGUAAAGUGCUUUCAGUUGGGAAGAAAAAAAUGACGGUACCAACAGAAGAAGUGACGGCUAAAUACGUG